GAUGAACGCUGGCGGCGUGCCUAACACAUGCAAGUCGAGCGUGAACCCUGCGAAUGAAACUUCGGUCGAUUUUGCAGGGGGAAAGCGGCGGACGGGUGAGUAACGCGUAGGUAACCUGCCCCAUACUGAGGGAUAGCCUCGGGAAACCGGGAUUAAUACCUCAUAACACCGUAUAUUCGCAUGGAUGUGCGGUCAAAGAUUUAUCGGUAUGGGAUGGGCCUGCGUCUGAUUAGCUGGUUGGUGGGGUAACGGCCUACCAAGGCGACGAUCAGUAGCCGACCUGAGAGGGUGAUCGGCCACAUUGGAACUGAGACACGGUCCAAACUCCUACGGGAGGCAGCAGUGGGGAAUAUUGCACAAUGGGCGAAAGCCUGAUGCAGCAACGCCGCGUGAGCGAAGAAGACCUUUGGGUCGUAAAGCUCUGUCGGGUAGGAAGAUAAUGACGGUACUACCCGAGGAAGCCCCGGCUAACUACGUG
rnacentral:rRNA from 1 species